ACAUUGAAAUCAGCUAACUACUUUGUGCAUAAAAAACAAACAUUAAUUUCAACAAAAGAGGACAUCCCGAGACGCUAAUCGCGAAAAUGUCUUGGAAUGAUGGAUGUUAAUCUAGACACAAAUGAAGUACGCUGCACUUGGAAAUGAGUACAUGUUGAAAGCCAAAAUCCGCGUUUGAGCGCUAAACUCGCUCGGGCAGCGCAUACAGUACAUUACAAUGGGGGAGAAACGUGUUUUUUAAAAACCUUGUUAGCAAACAGUUUCAAUUAAGUGCCACCAAACUGAAAUGAAGCUUUUUGUUUUUGGUAAGAGUGUACCACUAUAAAACGCGAAGAGCAUGACCACAUUUGAACAGCCCUGAUCCAUCUUUGCAUUUUAGGCUAUCUAUCCUUUAUUUAGAGGUGAGGCAAGAGUAGUACAGAAAAGAGAAAAGGAAGCUGGGACGGGUUGUCCAGGCGUAUAGUUCAACAAACGAUACUGCUCGGCUUGGGCGAGGACCAAGUGAACUACCACACGGGUCCGUCGGAAGGUGUACAUACAACAGCACGCGAAACUCGCUGUGCUAACAAAGAGAACAGGGGAUCUCUUCUUAGUCUAUUCUCUCUGACCAAAGACUCGUACGACAAGAUUAUUUCUCUUCGUUGGAAAAGUGGAUACACGCUUGAGGUGUGCAGGUGGAGCCGGCAACAGUAGAUAGGGCGGAGGAAUUGACAGAAGCGUUCCGUCCGUCCGUCUGUCAGUCUGUUCGUCAUCUGGGAUGAAGAAGAGCAGGAGCGUGCUGACGGUGUCUCCUGGUGAUGGACAGCUCUCUGUGGCUGAUGUGUAGCUGCGCAUGGCUGGUGGGGAUCCUGCAUGAGUCAGGAUACAGAAGCAAAGGAAUGAACCGAAAACGCUUUCGCUCGCGUAAUGGAGCUGUGGAUGCUGAUCUUGUGACCAAGCGCAACAGACAGACCCCUGACAAGGCGGGCUGCCCAGGAAAAGGUCACCUGACCCAUCUGUUCCCUCUUGGAAGAUGGUAGACUGCCAGUGGGCGAUCUGACACCCUGCUGGAUGUUCAUGGCUCACUGCUCGGUAGAGAUUUUCAUUAGUCAAUAGAUAUGUAUUUGGUAGCAUAGGGAUGUUAAAAACACUUCAGAAAUGAAAUAGUUAUGCUCGUUGUGUUUUUCCCCUGUUGAGAGUCUGUGGUGCGCUAUUUUGCGCCUAGUCUCGAAUAUCCCCAAAUGUCUCCUGUUACGUGACCUGGCAAGCUGUUCCAUGCGACUAC